AUUGAACGCUGGCGGCAGGCCUAACACAUGCAAGUCGAGCGGAUGAAGGGAGCUUGCUCCUGGAUUCAGCGGCGGACGGGUGAGUAAUGCCUAGGAAUCUGCCUGGUAGUGGGGGAUAACGUCCGGGAACGGGCGCUAAUACCGCAUACGUCCUGAGGGAGAAAGUGGGGGAUCUUCGGACCUCACGCUAUCAGAUGAGCCUAGGUCGGAUAGCUAGUUGGUGGGGUAAAGGCCUACCAAGGCGACGAUCCGUAACUGGUCUGAGAGGAUGAUCAGUCACACUGGAACUGAGGCACGGUCCAGACUCCUACGGGAGGCAGCAGUGGGGAAUAUUGGACAAUGGGCGAAAGCCUGAUCCAGCCAUGCCGCGUGUGUGAAGAAGGUCUUCGGAUUGUAAAGCACUUUAAGUUGGGAGGAAGGGCAGUAAGUUAAUACCUUGCUGUUUUGACGUUACCAACAGAAUAAGCACCGGCUAACUUCGUG
rnacentral:rRNA from 1 species